rnacentral:rRNA from 1 species
CACGUAGGGCGCAAGCGUUGUCCGGAAUUAUUGGGCGUAAAGAGCGAGCAGGCGGUUACUCAAGUCAGAUGUAAAAUAUCCCGGCUUAACCGGGAGGGGCCAUUUGAAACUGGGUAACUAGAGUGAAGCAGAGGAUAGCGGAAUUCCCGGUGUAGUGGUGAAAUGCGUAGAUAUCGGGAGGAACACCAGUGGCGAAGGCGGCUAUCUGGGCUUUAACUGACGCUGAGGCGCGAAGGCUAGGGGAGCAAACAGG